GAACCUUUUAAUCCAGUCCAGUGAGGCUGGCAAGGGCACGGAAUGACAAACAGGCGGGACGCUUAAAAGUCCGGUCAGUUUGUCCGAAGGCUUCUUGUCUCCUGACAAGGAGCCUUUUUUCGU
rfam:Brevibacillus brevis NBRC 100599 DNA, complete genome.